rnacentral:rRNA from 1 species
UGGUCAAGUUAUUAAGGGUGCAGGGCGGAUGCCUUGGCACUAGGAGCCGAUGAAGGACGUGAUAAGCUGCGAUAAGCUUCGGGGAGUUGCACGUAAACUUUGAUCCGAAGAUUUCCGAAUGAGGAAACUCACUUAGAGUAAUGUCUAAGUAUCAUUAAGUGAAUACAUAGCUUAAUGAGGGGAACUCAGGGAACUGAAACAUCUAAGUACCUGAAGGAAGAGAAAGAAAUUCGAUUCCGUAAGUAGCGGCGAGCGAACGCGGAUUAGCCCAAACCAAUAAAGUUUUCUUUAUUGGGGUUGCGGACAUACCACAUAUAAGAGGUCAUUAUAGACGAAGAAGUUUGGAAAAACUCAUCAUAGAAGGUAAUAAUCCUGUAGUCAAAAUAAUAAUUCUUUAGGUAUGAUCCAGAGUACCACGGGACACGUGAAACCCUGUGGGAAGCAGGAGGGACCACCCUCCAAGGCUAAAUACUACCUAGUGACCGAUAGCGUAUAGUACCGUGAGGGAAAGGUGAAAAGAACCCCG